rnacentral:rRNA from 1 species
UAAGACGUAGGGAGCGAGCGUUGUCCGGAUUCAUUGGGCGUAAAGAGCGCGUAGGCGGCCGUGCAAGUCGGUUGUGAAAUCCCGGGGCUCAACCCCGGGACUGCGUCCGAUACUGCACGGCUCGAGGCAGGUAGGGGAGAGUGGAAUUCCCGGUGUAGCGGUGAAAUGCGCAGAUAUCGGGAGGAACACCGGUGGCGAAGGCGGCUCUCUGGACCUGUCCUGACGCUGAGGCGCGAAAGCUAGGGGAGCGAACAGGAUUAGAUACCCUGGUAGUCCUAGCCGUAAACGUUGGGUGCUAGGUGUGGGCGGAUAUCGACCCCGUCCGUGCCGAAGCUAACGCAUUAAGCACCCCGCCUGGGGAGUACGGCCGCAAGGCUA